rnacentral:rRNA from 1 species
AACGAACGCUGGCGGCAUGCCUAAUACAUGCAAGUCGAACGAGACCUUCGGGUCUAGUGGCGCACGGGUGCGUAACGCGUGGGAAUCUGCCCUUGGGUUCGGAAUAAUAGUUGGAAACGACUGCUAAUACCGGAUGAUGACGAAAGUCCAAAGAUUUAUCGCCCAGGGAUGAGCCCGCGUAGGAUUAGCUAGUUGGUGAG